rnacentral:tRNA from 1 species
GCUCAGUGGUAGAGCACGUGCUUGGCGUGCAUGAGGUCCUGGGUUCAAUCCCCAG